UUUUUUAUGGAGAGUUUGAUCCUGGCUCAGGACGAACGCUGGCGGCGUGCUUAACACAUGCAAGUCGAACGGUAAGGCCCCUUCGGGGGUACACGAGUGGCGAACGGGUGAGUAACACGUGGGUGACCUGCCCUGUACUUCGGGAUAAGCCUGGGAAACUGGGUCUAAUACCGGAUAUGACCUUCCCCUGCAUGGGGGUUGGUGGAAAGCUUUUGCGGUACAGGAUGGGCCCGCGGCCUAUCAGC
rnacentral:rRNA from 1 species